UUUGGCAAAAAAGAAGAACGUAAAUGGGAAAGCACUUCAAUACCGAGAAUGAAACAAAGCUCCAAUUAAACUAAAAAUAUAAACUACCAUAACCUCCUGUCUUUCCACUUGAGCCAUGUGAGUCUCCCAUGGCUUCUCCAUUUGCUUGUAAACAUUGAUUCCAUUACCUCCCCACUUCACUUCUCUCCAUAAUCUCCCCUCUCUCUCCGUGUUGUAUAAUUGUCUCCCCGUUCGAUCCGACAAUGCCCGACACAAAUGGAGCUCCAAAUUCCAAAACCAAUCCAAGCCCUAACAUGCCGGAGAGACCUCCGUUGCUCAAGAAAUCCAAAAUAAAUGCCGACAACACACUCGCCGGACAACUUUUCCCCGCUGUUCUUCGUGUCUCUUCUACUUCACCAUCCUACUCUGAAUCUCAUACCACUUCCGCGACUAAUGAUGCAAAUUUUGGAUUUGGCGAUCGUGACUACGUUUACCCCUCUUUUCUUGGACCGCAUACUACUAAGAGUAGAGUUAACGUCAAGUCAACUUCGAAAUCACAGAGGAAUCAGCUCGAAUUACCAGCUCGUAGCGAGUCUAUGCCUUCCAAUUUGAGUUGUGAAGCUAAGGUUGAGUCAAAGAUGAAGCUCAAGCCCAAGCUGAAAGCUGAGAAAGAUUUGAAUGCUUUGUCAAUUCAAGUCUCAACUUCAGCUUCUUCGGCUUUGUCAGGGUCCAGUUCAGCUAUCUUCUCCAAUGCGCGAAGACCUUCUGCUCAUAGAUAUUCGUGGAUUCUCUUUUUGCUUAAGUUUCUUUGUACAUUAUCUGUAUCCCACACAUUAUAUUUGCGGAAUGAAGUCUCUAAACUUCAGGAGGAGAAUAGUAGUCUUCGUAGAGCUUGUAGCCAUGUUGAUCUUGCCAGCGCUGGUAUCAUGGAGCUUGAAGAAGUUAAUUCAUUAGUGUAUUUUGGUAAUGCUGACAGCAGAACAGUUGCUCUGUACAUGGUGGUGUUUAUCCUCGUUAUUCCUUUUGCAUUGUACAGAUAUCUUGACUAUCUUCCGAGAAUAAUUGAUCUCUUGAAGAGGAAAUAUACCAUAAAGGAGGAGGUUCCACUGAAGAAAAGGAUUGCAUAUGUGGUGGAUGUGUGUUUCUCAGUUUACCCUUAUGCAAAGCUUCUUGCACUUCUUUUUUCCACUCUCUUUCUAAUUGUAUAUGGAGGAUUGGCACUUUAUGCUGUUGGUGAUGGCAGCUUUAUUGAAGCUAUUUGGCUUUCUUGGAGCUUUGUAGCAGACUCUGGAAACCAUGCAGAUAUGGUUGGUGCAGGGCCAAGGAUAGUUUCAGUUCUGAUAAGCUCUGGAGGCAUGCUCAUAUUUGCUAUGAUGCUGGGGCUUGUUUCAGAUGCUAUUUCAGAAAAAGUGGAUUCUUUAAGGAAAGGAAAGAGUGAGGUGAUUGAAAGUAAUCACAUUCUUGUUCUUGGAUGGAGUGAUAAAUUGGGGUCACUUUUGAAGCAGUUAGCGAUAGCAAACAAGAGCAUUGGUGGUGGUGUUGUCGUUGUUCUUGCGGAAAGAGACAAGGAGGAGAUGGAGCUGGACAUAGCAAAGUUAGAAUUUGAUUUCAUGGGAACUUCAGUUAUCUGCAGAAGUGGCAGUCCACUGAUACUUGCUGAUCUAAAAAAGGUAUCAGUCUCUAAAGCACGUGCAAUCAUUGUCUUAGCAUCUGAUGAGAAUGCUGAUCAGAGUGAUGCACGUGCUCUAAGGGUUGUACUUAGCCUAACUGGAGUAAGAGAGGGGUUGAGAGGUCAUGUUGUUGUGGAGAUGAGUGAUCUUGACAACGAACCGUUAGUGAAACUUGUUGGUGGUGAACUUAUUGAAACAGUUGUUGCGCAUGAUGUGAUUGGGAGGUUGAUGAUACAAUGUGCUUUGCAGCCUGGCCUUGCUCAGAUUUGGGAAGACAUUUUGGGGUUUGAAAAUGCAGAAUUUUAUAUCAAACGGUGGCCUCAACUGGAUGGUGUACCCUUUGAAGACGUACUGGUAUCAUUUCCGGAGGCUAUUCCUUGCGGUGUUAAGGUUGCUGCUUAUGGGGGCAAGAUUAUCAUAAAUCCUGAUGAUAGAUAUGUUCUAAAAGAAGGUGAUGAAGUCCUUGUUAUAGCUGAGGAUGAUGAUACCUAUGCGCCAGGUCUCUUACCAGAGGUAAAUAAAGGCCUAUUCCCUAGGAUAACUGAUCCUCCAAAAUAUCCAGAAAGAAUCUUAUUCUGUGGCUGGAGACGUGAUAUUGAUGAUAUGAUUAUGGUACUGGAGGCAUUAUUGGCUCCAGGGUCUGAAUUGUGGAUGUUUAAUGAGGUGCCCGAGAAAGAUAGAGAAAAAAAGUUGACUGAUGGGGGUCUUGAUAUAUCAGGACUAGAUAACAUAAAACUUGUCCAUCGUGUGGGAAAUGCAGUGAUUAGACGUCAUUUAGAGGGUCUUCCUUUGGAGACAUUUGAUUCGAUGAAUCCGUCGAAGACUCCAUUGUUCACUCUGAUUCACGCUCUCUUGCCACCCUCCUUCUCAUCCGAGAUAUCCAGUCGAAGCGUCUUCCUAAUAAAGAUUCUAGGUCGGUUUCUCUACGGCAUUCAGUGUUUUCUCAGAGCUCCUGGAUUCGUGAAAUGCAGCAGGCUUCAGACAGAUCAAUAAUAAUAAGUGAGAUAUUGGACUCUAGGACAAGAAAUCUUGUGUCAGUGUCUAGGAUAAGUGAUUACGUGCUGUCAAAUGAACUGGUGAGCAUGGCACUUGCAAUGGUAGCAGAAGACAAACAGAUUAAUCGUGUUCUAGAAGAACUGUUUGCGGAAGAGGGAAAUGAAUUAUGCAUCAAGCCGGCAGAGUUUUAUCUGUAUGAUCAGGAAGAAGUGUGCUUCUAUGAUAUCAUGAGAAGGGGUCGUCAAAGACGGGAGAUAGUGAUUGGAUACCGCAGUGCAGCUGCAGAACGUGCUGUGAUUAACCCAGCAGGCAAGUCAAAGCAAAGAAAGUGGUCCCUUGAUGAUGUUUUUGUGGUUAUUUCCUCAGGUGACUGAAAACCUUCUUUAUAUUAAUCAUCACAAACUCUCUCCCGACAAGCAACACUCACAGGGUCACUACAAAAGAGGCAAAUGAGGUAAACUUUAACCAGCAGAUUAGGUAGAAAAUAAUAGCAAGAGAGAGGUAAGAACUGGUCUGCGUAGUAGGAAAGGAGGGGAGAGCUAGCUGUUAAUUCCUUUUUUUGUCUUUUUUCUUUUUUCAUUUUUCAUUUUUCACAUUUUGCAAUACAAAUCGGGGAAAUGAAGAAUGAAAAUUUACCAUCAUUAGACAAUUAGUUUUUUUUGUUUCA